AAUUCAAAUUUUCAGAUCACUUUCUCUCUCAUGCGGGCCCCAAUUCCCCAAUCAGAACCUAUUCACUCCACUCUCCCUCUCUCACGCGUCUCACCCUUUCUCUCUCACUUUAGAGCAUCAGCAACAAAGAAACUUUGUGAGUUUCUUUGAAACUUUGUGAGUUUCUUUGAAACUUUGUGAGUUUCUUUGUGACAUGUCAUCUGAAGUAAAGUUUCUUAACUGUUGCAGAAAAUGAAGUUUCUCCACGUGGCAAGCAACUUUGUUCCAAAGUUUCUUUUUAGAGAAUCUUCUAAAUUUAAUGAUUAAAAAAUAAAAAAAAAACAAAUAAAAAAAUAAAUAAAUAGGUAACUGGUUUACAAGAAAGUAGUGGAAGGUAUAUUGUGGGGUCCAUUUAAGAAAUUUUUUAGAAUUUCUGGGUUGGAGUAAAAUGACGUGGCAUUACCAAAAUUUAAAUUAGAAACUCUAAUGAGUUUCUUGGAUAAUGAUGGUCUUAAUUACUCAAAAAUUUCCUCCUUACCCCAAUUAUUCUCCCCAUGGGCCCCACUCCUACUAAUCAGAUAUUAUUUUUUUUCUUUGUCUCCCUUCAUUCACUCCCUCCCAACAGCUCACUCUCUCUCUCUCUCUCUCUCUCUCUCUCUCUCACCCUUCUCAUUCACGUUCUUUUCUCUUCUCCCACAGCACCUUCUUCUUCAGUUUAUUUCUCCUACAAACAACAUCACCACCAUAGUGCCUUCCUGCAACUCAACACCACCACCACGUGCCAAAAUCGCGAGCACCACGACCUCCAUGACUCCUUCACGCAGCAACCACCACUGUCCCUGUUCUGUUUUUUCUCUCAAUGAGAGUCACCACCAAAACCCUAGCCGCCGCCCUUUCCCUCUGAUCUCCGGCGAACCAUUAAGUUUUUGGAGAAACCAACACCACCACUGAACUCCCCUCAUCAACCGCAACAAAACCCUCCAACGAUUCGAUGAUCGGCCACCGCGACCGCCGCCGCGCCGUCCUCUCCGGCGAGCUUUGUUCUGAGAAAGGAGGCCAAUUUCUUGAAGCUUUCGACCUCCUCUUUCCAAAUCCAACGUCAGAUCAUCAGUAAGAGGGCUUGCUGGUCAUCAGAGGAAGAGAAGGCCAUGACCAGAGGAAGAAUUGAAGCUCAGUCCCAUGACCAUGAGACUUGAGGUAGAAGGAGAAAGACAUGAACUUUGUGCUUAUGCGUCUGUUGUGUGUGUGUGUGAGUAUUGGUGUCUUGGUUGUCCAUUACAAGGGCAUGAGCCUACAUAAAAUUGUAGAUUUUGAAAUGUAGCCCCUUUGUGAUGUACUGUAGAAUUUUAUUGGAAAUUUCUAAACCUGUUUCAUUUUAUUGGAA